UGAGGAAUAUUGGACAAUGGGCGCAAGCCUGAUCCAGCCAUGCCGCGUGCAGGAUGACGGUCCUAUGGAUUGUAAACUGCUUUUGUACAGGAAGAAACAGUUCUACGUGUAGAACCUUGACGGUACUGUAAGAAUAAGGAUCGGCUAACUCCGUGCCAGCAGCCGCGGUAAUACGGAGGAUCCAAGCGUUAUCCGGAAUCAUUGGGUUUAAAGGGUCCGUAGGCGGUUAGAUAAGUCAGUGGUGAAAGCCCAUCGCUCAACGGUGGAACGGCCAUUGAUACUGUCUGACUUGAAUUAUUAGGAAGUAACUAGAAUAUGUAGUGUAGCGGUGAAAUGCUUAGAGAUUACAUGGAAUACCAAUUGCGAAGGCAGGUUACUACUAAUGGAUUGACGCUGAUGGACGAAAGCGUGGGUAGCGAACAGGAUUAGAUACCCCGGUAGUCCCUGAGCGGGCUGGCAAGGCGCAU
rnacentral:rRNA from 1 species